rnacentral:rRNA from 1 species
ACUUAGAGCCAUACCAGCCUAAACAUACCUAAUCUCAUGUAAUCUUGGAAAUUCAACAGGAUCGGGCCUGGUCAGUACUUGAAUGAGAGAAUUAUAUAGGGCCAUCAUUA